GUGGGGAAUUUUGGACAAUGGGCGAAAGCCUGAUCCAGCCAUGCCGCGUGCAGGAUGAAGGCCUUCGGGUUGUAAACUGCUUUUGUACGGAACGAAAAGACUCCUUCUAAUAAAGGGGGUCCAUGACGGUACCCGGAGAAGAAGCCCCGGCUAACUUCGUGCCAGCAGCCGCGGUAAUACGUAGGGUGCAAGCGUUAAUCGGAAUUACUGGGCGUAAAGCGUGCGCAGGCGGUUAUAUAAGACAGAUGUGAAAUCCCCGGGCUCAACCUGGGAACUGCAUUUGUGACUGUAUAGCUAGAGUACGGUAGAGGGGGAUGGAAUUCCGCGUGUAGCAGUGAAAUGCGUAGAUAUGCGGAGGAACACCGAUGGCGAAGGCAAUCCCCUGGACCUGUACUGACGCUCAUGCACGAAAGCGUGGGGAGCAAACAGGAUUAGAAACCCCUGUAGUCC
rnacentral:rRNA from 1 species